rnacentral:lncRNA from 1 species
UCGAAUUUUUUUAUCAUUGUGUUCCUUAGGGUUUUUUUACUAUUAUUUUGUUAUUUUUUCUGGUUUUUCCUUUUGGGUUGGGUUGUUUGCAUGUUGUUUCUUUUGUUGAGGUGAGUUGUUUAACACUCCUAAUUCUAUCAAUUUCUACUUUAUUUUUAUAUAUUUUUUGUGACUUUCACAUAUUUAUUAAUAUACUAUUUAACCAUAAAAAAACAUUACUUUUUUUUAAGUAGACAUGUCUCUUUUCUUUUAAGAAAAGUUUGGUUGAAUCAGGCCUAAUCUCAUUCUAA